UGGGGAAUUUUGGACAAUGGGCGAAAGCCUGAUCCAGCAAUGCCGCGUGUGUGAAGAAGGCCUUCGGGUUGUAAAGCACUUUUGUCCGGAAAGAAAUCCUCUGGGUUAAUACCUCGGGGGGAUGACGGUACCGGAAGAAUAAGCACCGGCUAACUACGUGCCAGCAGCCGCGGUAAUACGUAGGGUGCAAGCGUUAAUCGGAAUUACUGGGCGUAAAGCGUGCGCAGGCGGUUUUGUAAGACGGAUGUGAAAUCCCCGGGCUUAACCUGGGAACUGCAUUCGUGACUGCAAGGCUAGAGUAUGGCAGAGGGGGGUAGAAUUCCACGUGUAGCAGUGAAAUGCGUAGAGAUGUGGAGGAAUACCGAUGGCGAAGGCAGCCCCCUGGGCCAAUACUGACGCUCAUGCACGAAAGCGUGGGGAGCAAACAGGAUUAGAUACCCUGGUAGUCCACGCCCUAAACGAUGUCAACUAGUUGUUGGGGAUUCAUUUCCUUAGUAACGUAGCUAACGCGUGAAGUUGACCGCCUGGGGAGUACGGUCGC
rnacentral:rRNA from 1 species